GACGAACGCUGGCGGCGUGCUUAACACAUGCAAGUCGAACGGUGACCUCGGAGCUUGCUUCGGGUGAUCAGUGGCGAACGGGUGAGUAACACGUGAGUAACCUGCCCCAGACUCUGGGAUAACCUCGGGAAACCGGGGCUAAUACCGGAUAUGCAGCGUUCCCGCAUGGGAUGCGUUGGGAAAGUUUUUCGGUCUGGGAUGGACUCGCGGCCUAUCAGCUUGUUGGUGAGGUAGUGGCUCACCAAGGCGACGACGGGUAGCCGGCNGAGAGGGCGACCGGCCACACUGGAACUGAGACACGGUCCAGACUCCUACGGGAGGCAGCAGUGGGGAAUAUUGCACAAUGGGCGCAAGCCUGAUGCAGCGACGCCGCGUGGGGGAUGAAGGCCUUCGGGU
rnacentral:rRNA from 1 species